UCCCUGGUAGUAUAUCGGUUAGUACACGCGCCUGUCAUGGAUUAAUGAAUUAUGCAACCGCGCGAAAGCUGGGUUCGACUCCCAGCCAGGGAG